rnacentral:rRNA from 1 species
UACGUAGGGUGCAAGCGUUGUCCCGGAAUUAUUGGGCGUAAAGAGCUCGUAGGCGGUCUGUCGCGUCUGCUGUGAAAACUCGGGGCUUAACCCCGGGCCUGCAGUGGGUACGGGCAGACUAGAGUGCGGUAGGGGAGACUGGAAUUCCUGGUGUAGCGGUGAAAUGCGCAGAUAUCAGGAGGAACACCGGUGGCGAAGGCGGGUCUCUGGGCCGUAACUGACGCUGAGGAGCGAAAGCGUGGGGAGCGAACAGG